GGAUCCCUUCGCCGCCGCCAUCGCUCGCCCAUCAAGCGCCGUUGAUCCCUGCGCCGCCGAACCCUUCGCCGCCGCCGAUCUCGUCGCUACGUCGACGCCAAGAUUUGACGCUGCCGAACCCCUUGCCAUCGCGGAUCCCUUGCCAUCGCGCAUCCGCUUCAGGAGCCGCCGCUGAUCCCCAUCCAUGUCACAGUCGGGACACCUCUGCCAGCCGUGCCUUACCCUCCUCUGUGUGCUGGUGGUGGGGAUGCAGCACGUCAUCGAUCGCGAGAUCGGCAAGCCCAAGUACCGCUGCGCUUGGGCCUAUGUCGAGUGUCGACACGGUCGCGGACAGCGGCUACAGGAGGACCGAGUGCGGCGUACCUCCGCUCUCUACCGGCAGCUCUGGCGGAUGCUUCUGCUGCUGCCGACUAGCCGCAUCGUCCUAUCGCCGCCGCCGCCCAUCCUGACGAAUCCGGCACCGGAGGCCUUCCCCUCACCUGUCGCGAGUCCCGUAAAUGCUCGAGGGCACCACUCUUGGUGCUCCAGUGGUGGUCCGAAGCCAGCGUGGUGGAGGUGGUCGGACAUGGCAAGCAACAGCACUACAUGAACAUAAUAAAAAAGAUGUACCAAAUCUGAAGGGCUUAGCUGGGGCAAUUUUGAAGCGGUUCAGAUGGGGAUUUGUAUCAUAUCAUGCUGCUGUGUAUGCUGUUCUUUGCUCUCGUUGGGGCAAUUUUGUGCAGGGAGAUAUGUUUGGAUUAGUUAUGUGAUGCUCUGUCAUGCUCUUUGUGCACCUGCUCAAGACAGAAAAUUUUAGAUAUUUGAACUGAUUAUUGGUACCGGCACUAAUCGUAUUUAUUCUCAUUGUUCCAGGUUAAUCAUCUAGGGAAAGUAACACUUGAUCACAGGGUAUUAAAGUUAGUAGAUGUAUGUAAAGUUAUGUAGCUUCGUAAAACAGCUGUCAGUUUUUAGAUUUUGGUCAGUUAUGUAGCUGCUCUCCAAUGGCCUUUUCAACUCAACAUGCCGUCGGACAAAUAUAGAUGGAGGACAUGAAACAAAUCAGAAAGAAAUUAGCAAUAUGUUAAAUCCAGAUAUUCCUCUGAUUUGCUGCUUUCAUUUUGUGGAACCUAGCUUGUGAAAUGUUCAUGUGUUCUUACUUGAGUGCCUCUUGUGGUUUUAGCAAUGGAGUUGGCUCUAGCUCUUGAAAAGAUGGUGAACGAGAAGCUGCCCAACGUGCUCACUGAGAUUGCGGCGGCAGCGGGGGUUUUGUGUCGGCAUGCUGUGGGGAGCUGCUGGACAGUGACCGAUGGUGGUGGAUCAGAGUUGGAAUUCAAGAGGGUUGGUGUGGUUGCAGUUGUCUGACGAUUGGGAGAGAGCAGAGCAACAGAGGAGGCUGGCCAAGGACAUGGCCGUGGAUAACACAUCUUGCUCGGUUUCCCCGACAAACCAAGGAGAGGAGACAGAGGCUUGCUAUUAAUAACUUGAGUCGCUGUGAUGAUCGCCCGGGCGGCCGUGUAGCCAUCUCAGAUGGAGUCCCAGGGGAAGGACCACAAGGAGGUGCCCACAGGUAUGAUAAGAUUCAGCUUUCCGGAAUUUUGGUGAGGCGCUCGGCGCACUGCAAAACUUUUAUUUGUAAAUGUUGCAUGCUACUACCUCCUAAUUAACAUGUCAAUGAAAAGAAGUAGAUGGAGAUCUUCAUAGAUAUUGUAACAUGUUUUGGUUUGCAGGUUUAAUAUUUGACGUCCUCUGUUUGGUAAUGAGAGCAAGCAUCUUAUGUUGGUUGUGUCAUCAAGCUCUGGCUUGUAACUGUGUACUUCUCUCCUCAUCUUCUUUGAGGAGGUUUUUUUAGGGAGUCUUGAUAGAUUUGGUAGAGGAUCUAAACUUUCUUUAGAAUUUUAGAACCACUAUCCUUUUUAGUGUCGGUGUUCAAUUGAUUAUAGAUGAUAGGGACACUUUGGACCAUGGUCCUGGUUCGGUGUGGUUUCACGAUUGUCAUUGGUGUCCCAUGUGUCAUGUCUCUGCUUCUGCAGAAAUUCUCACUCAGGUUGAGUAAUUUGGAACAUAUGGAACUGCGAUGCUUCAUUGUGUACACAUUCAUCUUGUGGAGUUAGUAUGCAUUUAAAUUUCAGUUCAAGCAUGUUAGAUCAGAGGGAUUAAGCAAGGUGCAUAUAAUUUUUGAGUUCUUCCAAAACUUCGAUGAGAUUGCUUCUGCACUGUUUGUCACAGGACGGUGAGUUCCUUCUCGUUGAAACAUCUCGGUACAUUAUGUUUGGCAUCAAUUUUUUAGCCCCCUACCAAUUGUUGUCAAAAGUAGGCCUGGCAUUGUCAAAAUAGCUUUUGAGGGAUUUUUUUAGAAGCAAACUUCUGCGAGGCACAACCAUAAUAUGUGUGUUAGAAAUAAGCUCUGUUCAUGUAUAUUAUUAUGCCCAAUUUAAAACUGAGUAUGAUCAGAAUGGUUUCAUUAUGGUUAUUGUGACUUGUGACUGAAGGACUAUCCAUUGUUGCCCCGUAAAGAUUUGUGCAGGUUCAUACUUUCUUUUUCUAAUGUAUUGUGCGGUCGAGGUCUCUAGCAAGGAUACCCUCCCUAGGGUGUUCCGCACUUCGUGGACUGCGUCUGCUGGCCCAACGCCAGUGGAGAUCCGCUGCUGCAACACCGGAAGAAAGCGUCCUGCAACACGGCGCAACGGCUGCAGGAUUGUCCUUCGGGAACUCAGCACCUGGACCUAGGCAGGGCAACGUCGUCUGUGCUAUCCUUGUCAUCCUGGUUAUCAGUUCUUCUCAUGUUAGUUCAUGACAUCCCAAUCCGAGCAACCAGCCGUCGAUUCAAGCGACCCCCUUUAGGAAUCCAUGGAAUUUGAGGUGGAUUUCCUGGAAGAGGGAGGAGGAAGGAUGAUGGUGGGGUUCAUGAGGAAGAGGAGUCCACCAUCUGCGACUCCCUCCCUCAGGGGAACAUCGCAGAUUUGACUAGGAGCUCUCAAGCACGAGAUCGCCCGGGCCUCUCAUCUGUCCUUGCAGGCAUGUGUUCUUCCUCCUCUUAUGAGAUCAUCAUGUGCAAAUAUGCUAGAGUUGUACUCCCUCUGUAGACUAAUUGUGAUCUAAAAGGUCUUAUAUUAGUUUACAAAUAUAGUACAUAAUAUCUUGCAAGGCCUGACUAAUAAGUAGUUGUGGCUUAAGAUGCUUCCAGAGACUCAUUGGAAUGGUGGAAUUCAAUCGGACUAUCAUAUGAGCAUAAUAGACUAUGAGCAUCAUUCAGAUUAUAAUGAAUGAGAAGUGAAGGUCUGAAUGUCAAACAAAAAACACAGUGCUAAAUAUUCAGUCAGGUACGGCUCAUGGGAUGAUACAACUAUUAGUGGGACAAAAGGGUUGUACUUGCAUGCACAUGCUUAUUGAUUCAAGGCAGGAUUAUGGGAGAUAGUGCAUGGUCCAGAUGAAUAGAUGGAACCCGUCUAGAGAAAAGAAAAAGGAGAAAAAGAAGAAAAUUGUUCUUCGUAAGAAAAUACUCCCUCCGUCCCACUUAUUUUGGGACAGAGUACAUAUUACAUCAUAUGUAACCGGAGAAUGGCGGCAUGUCAAGAUCAGGCAAGAACUCUGAUGCCUGUGUGCACUUGCUGAAUAUAGAUGAUUGUGAUGGCCUCAUUCCUUGGAUGUGUAGGGAGCUUCAACUUGGCAGUUCACAAGAUACGCGGCCAUCGAUGCAUUCGGCGGUGGCGAAAAUGCACAUACUUUAGGGGUGCCUCGGUAUGGCUGUUGGCUCACAUGUUCCCCUUGGCCGAAUCAUUGGGUAUAGGAGGAGUAGGCGGCCGGGGGUGAAUGAAUGGUGCCUCGAGGAGUUUCUCGAUCAUGCUUUUUCCAUCUUGUAGAUCGUUCAGUGGAUCGUGAAGUUUAUAUGUAAGGUAUUACAUGUAAUUAAUUUUUUGGUUGGAUGGAUGCAAAAAAAAAAAUCAUGU